CAUUAAAACGCCAGUUCCAGUACAAUUACCGAAGUUAAGCAACGUCGAGCCGAGUCAGUCCCUAGAUGGGUGACCGCUUGGGAAUAUCAGGUGAU